UACGUAGGGAGCAAGCGUUGCCCGGAAUUACUGGGCGUAAAGAGCUCGUAGGCGGGGGCGUGCGUCCGGGAAGAAAUCUCAAGGCUCAACCUUGGGGCUAUCUCGGAUACGGCGCUUCUUGAGGGUGAGAGAGGAAAGCGGAAUUCCAGGUGUAGCGGUGAAAUGCGUAGAUAUCUGGAGGAACACCAGCGGCGAAGGCGGCUUUCUGGCUCAUUCCUGACGCUGAGGAGCGAAAGCGUGGGUAGCGAACGGG
rnacentral:rRNA from 1 species